rnacentral:rRNA from 1 species
GGCCGCGGGAAUUCGAUUCAGGCCUAACACAUGCAAGUCGAACGAUGAAGCUGGAGCUUGCUCCGGUGGAUUAGUGGCGAACGGGUGAGUAACACGUGAGCAAUCUGCCCUUCACUCUGGGAUAACUGCGGGAAACUGUAGCUAAUACCGGAUACGAGACCUUGGGGCAUCCUAGGGUCUGGAAAGAAUUUCGGUGAAGGAUGAGCUCGCGGCCUAUCAGCUAGUUGGUGAGGUAAUGGCUCACCAAGGCGACGACGGGUAGCCGGCCUGAGAGGGUGACCGGCCACACUGGGACUGAGACACGGCCCAGACUCCUACGGGAGGCAGCAGUGGGGAAUAUUG